rnacentral:rRNA from 1 species
GUUGUGUGAAGGCAACCCAGGGAACUGAAACAUCUAAGUACCUGGUGGAAAAGAAAACAAUAGUUAUUUCCUUAGUAGUGGCGAGCGAAAAGGAAACAGUCUAAACCAUUUAACGUGUUAAAGGAAGCAACCGUUGCGUUAUUGGUGUUGUGGGAAUUGAUCUGACUGAAUUGCUAAUAAGUCGAAGAGUAAAAAAUUAUAUUUCUAGCCGAAUGUUCUGGAAAGUUCAACCAUAGAAGGUGAUAGUCCUUUAGGCGAAAGUUAUAUAACUCUUUGGAUCAGCCUCCCAAGUACCACGGAAUAAGUGGAAGUCUGUGGGAAUCUGCCAGAACCAUCUGGUAAGACUAAAUACUCUCUCGUAACCGAUAGCGCAUAGUACCGUGAGGGAAAGGUGAAAAGAACUCCUAUUAGGAGAGUGAAAUAGUACCUGAAACCAUAUGCUUACAAGCAGUUGGAGCUUCGAUUUAUCGGAGUGACAGCGUGCCUUUUGGAUAAUGAGCCUACGAGUUACUCGUACGUUGCAAGGUUAAGUUUUUAAGAAACGCAGCCGAAGCGAAAGCAAGUCCUAACCGGGCGAUUGAAGUAACGUGCGGUAGACGCGAAACCGUGUGAUCUACCCUCGUCCAGGAUGAAGUGAGGGUAAAACCUCAUGGAGGUCCGAACNNUGUAACGGAGGUAGAGCACUGAUUGGGCUAGGGCCGUCACAACGGUACCAAACCCAGACAAACUCCGAAUUCCGUAUACAUGUUCUCCGGGAGUCAGGCUACGAGGGAUAAGCUUCGUGGCCAAAAGGGAAACAACCCAAACCAUCAACUAAGGCCCCCAAAUGAUAGUUAACAGAGAAAGGAUGUUGAGUUGCUCAGACAACUAGGAUGUUGGCUUAGAAGCAGCCAUUCAUUUAAAGAGUGCGUAACAGCUCACUAGUCAAGAGAUCUUGCGUGGAAAAUGUAACGGGGCUAAGUGUUAUACCGAAGACAUGGAUGCCACCAGUACAGUAAACAUCUAACGUAGAAAAGCUACAUUUUCUCCGCCACCCGGAAGGGCUGUCGGUCAAAAUAGCUCCGCCAAGGCGGAUAACCUACGAUCAUGAGGUGUUUAGUGUACUGGUGGCGUGGUAGAGGAGCGUUCCUAUCUGCGGUGAAGCAGUUUUGGAAAGAAUUGUGGAGCGUUAGGAAGUGAGAAUGCUGGAAUGAGUAACCACAAGAGGGGUGAGAAUCCCCUCGGCCGUAAGAGCAAGGUUUCCUGAGCUAUGGUAAUCAUCUCAGGGUUAGUCGGGCCUAAGCCGAGGCGCAUAGCGUAGGCGAUGGACAUCAGGUUAAUAUUCCUGAACCGGCGUGUUUUGUACACUGUUCACGGCGAGAUAUUCGGAGCGGAUUCAUGGUUUAUCCGUCCAACCUAGGGGGAACCCGAUGGGAGUGAAAGUUACCUUUUUAAGGUGACGAUUCUGGAAAAGGCGCUGGCUAGAAAAGCAGGUGUACGCGUGGACACGUCGACCGUACCGCAAACCAACACAGGUGCUCGAGUCGAGUAGACUCAGGCUUACGAGAGAACCUUCGCUAAGGAACUCGGCAAUACAGCGACCGUAACUUCGGGAUAAGGUCUGCCCCCACUUCGGUGGAUAUGAGCCGCGUUCAUAAACUCAGCGAUUAGGUGGUUAGAAGAACGCAUUUAUCAGAGGUAAAAGCGCUGAUAAAUGUAGUGAGUACGCAUCGUUUCUGCGUAAAGUAGAAUCGGUGUGAUCAAAUCCUUUUUAAAACCAUAGAAUUUUUCUGAGAUAAGUAACAUGAAUAAUGUUCUUUUGAACGCGAACCGUUCACAUCUAACGAUGUGGGGGCCGCAGCAAAAGAGCCCACGGAACUGUUUAUCAAAAACACAGGUCUCUGCUAACACGAAAGUGGAUGUAUAGGGGCUGACUCCUGCCCAAUGCUGGAAGGUUAAGGGGAGCGCUUCACGGUGCGAACUGAAGCCCUAGUCAAUGGCGGCGGUAACUAUAACCGUCCUAAGGUAGCGAAAUUCCUUGUCAGGUAAGUUCUGACCCGCACGAAUGGAGUAAUCAUGUGGGCACUGUCUCAGCGAAGGACUCGGUGAAAGUGCAUUGGCGGUAAAGAUGCCGUCUGUCCGUACCAGGACGAGAAGACCCCAUGGAGCUUUACUACAGUUUUACAUUGAUCCGGGUUUUGGCCCGUGUAGCAUAGUUGGGAGACGUUGAAGCAGAUACGCUAGUAUUUGUGGAGUCGCCGGUGAAAUACCAACCUUGCCAAGAUCUUGAUCUCACCCUGACCGUUAUCCGGUUAGGGGACCGUGUAUGAUGGGUAGUUUAACUGGGGCGGUUGCCUCCUAAAGAGUAGCGGAGGCGUUCAAAGGUUGGCUAGCUUCGGAUGGAAAUCGAAGUGAUAGUGUAUGCGCAUAAGCCAGCUUGACUGUGAGGAGUACAUUCCAAGCAGAGACGAAAGUCGGAGCAAGUGAUCCGCUGUACGUACAUUUGUACAUGAAUGUGGGAUCGACAGCGCAAACGGAUAAAAGUUACCCUGGGGAUAACAGGCUUAUAGCGCCCAAUAGUUCACAUAGACGGCGCUGUUUGGCACCUCGAUGUCGACUCAUCACAUCCUGGGGCUGUAGAAGGUCCCAAGGGUCUGGCUGUUCGCCAGUUAAAGCGGUACGUGAUCUGGGUUCAGAACGUCGUAAGACAGUUCGGUCCUUAUCCGUUGUGGGCGUAGGAUACUUGAGAGGAUCCGUCCUUAGUACGAGAGGACCGGGACGGGCGAACCUCUUGUGCACCGGUUGUCGCGCCAGCGGCACGGCCGGGUAGCGAUGUUCGAAAGGAUAACCGCUGAAAGCAUAUAAGCGGGAAGCCUCCCUUAAGAUAAGGCAACUAUUCCGAUUUAUUUCGGAAUACAAUUUCCUAGAAGAUGACUAGGUUGAUAGGUCUCAGAUGCAAGUGCAGUAAUGCAUUAAGUCAAGAGAUACUAAUAAAUUGAA